GAUGAACGCUGACAGAAUGCUUAACACAUGCAAGUCUACUUGAACUUCGGUUUGGGUGGCGGACGGGUGAGUAACGCGUAAAGAACUUGCCUCACAGUUAGGGACAACAUUUGGAAACGAAUGCUAAUACCUGAUAUUAUGAUUUUAGGGCAUCCUAAGAUUAUGAAAGCUAUAUGCACUGUGAGAGAGCUUUGCGUCCCAUUAGCUAGUUGGAGAGGUAACGGCUCACCAAGGCGAUGAUGGGUAGCCGGCCUGAGAGGGUGAACGGCCACAAGGGGAAUAAGACACGCCCCUACCACCAAGGGGAGGCAGAAGUGGGGAAAAUUGGAAAAUGACAAAAAAGUCGAAUCCAGAAAUUUGGUGUGAAGGAUAAGUUUUUGGGAAAUAAAAAGGGUUUUCAGUGGAAAAAAAAAAAAUGAGGGUACAAAAAAAAGAGGAGACGGAAAAAUCCGUG
rnacentral:rRNA from 1 species